ACACGACUACAUUAGAUACCCGUGUAGUCCUAGCCGUAAACGAUACUCGCUAGGUGUCGGCCACGGUGCGACCGUUGUCGGUGCCGUAGGGAAGCCGUGAAGCGAGCCACCUGGGAAGUACGGCCGCAAGGCUGAAACUUAAGGAAUUGGCGGGGGAGCACAACAACGGGUGGAGCUUGCGGUUUAAUUGGAUUCAACGCCGGAAAUCUUACCGGGACCGACAGCAACAUGAAGGCCAAGCUGAAGACUUUGCCGGAUUAGCUG
rnacentral:rRNA from 1 species